CUUCAGGAUACAUUGACAUGAAUAUUGCGCAACAAUAAAGGUGCAUUUUAUCGAAAUAAAAGCAAACAAACUUUAUGUGCAAGCAAAGUAUUCAAUACAUAUCCGUUUUAUUGUGAAACGCAAUUAAGCAGACAGAUCACUCCACGAACUAAGAACGGCCAUGCACCACCUAUGAUACAAUCAUGAAAGGACUAGCAUAUUUAGCAUGAGAAAAUAAUUAAUUUUUAAAAAAAUUAAUUAAUCUCAUAACAACCUGUCAAUCCUCAGUACCUCUGGACCUGGUAAGAUUUCCCGCGUUGAGUCAAAUUAAGCCACAUGCUCCACGCGUUCUUGUGGUGCCCUUCCGUCAAUUCCUUCAAGUUUCACACUUGCGU
rnacentral:rRNA from 1 species